rnacentral:pre_miRNA from 1 species
ACUCAGGGGCUUCGCCACUGAUUGUCCAAACGCAAUUCUUGUACGAGUCUGCGGCCAACCGAGAAUUGUGGCUGGACAUCUGUGGCUGAGCUCUGGG